AACGCUAGCUACAGGCUUAACACAUGCAAGUCGAGGGGAAACGACAUCGAAAGCUUGCUUUUGAUGGGCGUCGACCGGCGCACGGGUGAGUAACGCGUAUCCAACCUGCCCACCACUUGGGGAUAACCUUGCGAAAGUAAGACUAAUACCCAAUGAUAUCUCUAGAAGACAUCUGAAGGAGAUUAAAGAUUUAUCGGUGAUGGAUGGGGAUGCGUCUGAUUAGCUUGUUGGCGGGGUAACGGCCCACCAAGGCGACGAUCAGUAGGGGUUCUGAGAGGAAGGUCCCCCACAUUGGAACUGAGACACGGUCCAAACUCCUACGGGAGGCAGCAGUGAGGAAUAUUGGUCAAUGGACGAGAGUCUGAACCAGCCAAGUAGCGUGCAGGAUGACGGCCCUAUGGGUUGUAAACUGCUUUUAUAAGGGAAUAAAGUGAGCCUCGUGAGGCUUUUUGCAUGUACCUUAUGAAUAAGGACCGGCUAAUUCCGUGCCAGCAGCCGCGGUAAUACGGAAGGUCCGGGCGUUAUCCGGAUUUAUUGGGUUUAAAGGGAGCGUAGGCCGGAGAUUAAGCGUGUUGUGAAAUGUAGACGCUCAACGUCUGCACCGCAGCGCGAACUGGUUUCCUUGAGUACGCACAAAGUGGGCGGAAUUCGUGGUGUAGCGGUGAAAUGCUUAGAUAUCACGAAGAACUCCGAUUG
rnacentral:rRNA from 1 species